GAUGAACGCUAGCGAUAGGCCUAACACAUGCAAGUCGAACGGUGCCUUCGGGCACAGUGGCGCACGGGUGAGUAACACGUGGGAACCUGCCUUUCGGUUCGGAACAACGUCUGGAAACGGACGCUAACGCCGGAUACGCCCAUCCAGCGAUGGUUGGGGAAAGUUUACGCCGAGAGAGGGGCCCGCGCCGGAUUAGGUAGUUGGUGGGGUAACGGCCUACCAAGCCGACGAUCCGUAGCUGGUCUGAGAGGAUGAUCAGCCACACUGGGACUGAGACACGGCCCAGACUCCUACGGGAGGCAGCAGUGGGGAAUAUUGGACAAUGGGCGCAAGCCUGAUCCAGCAAUGCCGCGUGAGUGAUGAAGGCCUUAGGGUUGUAAAGCUCUUUCGCACGCGACGAUGAUGACGGUAGCGUGAGAAGAAGCCCCGGCUAACUUCGUGCCAGCAGCCGCGGUAAGUCACACUACA
rnacentral:rRNA from 1 species